rnacentral:rRNA from 1 species
UACGAAGGGGGCUAGCGUUGCUCGGAAUCACUGGGCGUAAAGCGCACGUAGGCGGAUUGUUAAGUCAGGGGUGAAAUCCUGGAGCUCAACUCCAGAACUGCCUUUGAUACUGGCAAUCUUGAGUCCGGAAGAGGUGAGUGGAACUCCUAGUGUAGAGGUGGAAUUCGUAGAUAUUAGGAAGAACACCAGUGGCGAAGGCGGCUCACUGGUCCGGUACUGACGCUGAGGUGCGAAAGCGUGGGGGCAAACAGGG